rnacentral:misc_RNA from 1 species
CGCCUUCAACUCCAUAUCCUUUUCUUUUUUAAACUCCGUGUGUAUUGGAGUGGCAUUCUCAACUUCACUCAAUACUGGAUUUCUCAGCACUGAAGCUCCAAAAAGAGGUUCCUGCUUAAGCACCCCAUUAAUUGGAGAAAUUGGAGAUAGUACGGGAGAUUGAGGUGGGCUGAUAAGGCCCACUUUCAGCUUGAUCUCUUCAACGUACUUGCCAUCAUCUUUGUAAAACAUGUUAGAUGUUAU